CCCGAGUACCAGAAGAGGCCAAUGAGCAGGGCCCCCCCUCCUGAGGACCAUAAACAGUGACCCAGGCACAGAGGGAGUGUAGUGAAUUCCUGUACUUUAAUGUUGCCCUGGCAUCCGUUUUGAAUAUAAUCUGGACUUUCUUACAUUAGAAGCAGGGCUCAGUCAACCUUGACACUGUUUCCAGCUCCCUGCUUCCUCCCAGUUCCUCUAUGUGCUCAAUCCAGAUAUCUACCUUAGACAGUCAUCUCCCGGUGACUGCCUCCCUGUGGGACAGCUACAUACAGCCCACUUGACUGGUCCCGCUGACCCCACAGCCCGCAUGGACUGUUGCAGAUAGGCCAGUGACCCUCUCUCAGCCAUAGCGUGACCCUGCUUGCUCUAAACUCACCAAUUAUUUUAUUUUAUUUUAUUUUAUUUUAUUUUAUUUUAUUUAUUUAUUUUUGAGAUGGAGUCUCGCUCUGUCACCCAGGCUGGAGUGCAGUGGCGCAAUCCUGGCUCACUGCAAGCUCCGCCUCCCGGGUUCAAGCCAUUCUCCUGCCUCAGCCUCCUGAGUAGCUGGGACUACAGGUGCGCACCACCACGCCCAGCUAAUUUUUGUAUUUUUAGUAGAGACGGGGUUUCACAAUGUUUUCCAGGAUGGUCUCAAUCUCUUGACCUCGUGAUCCACCCGCCUCGGCCUCCCAAAGUACAGGCGUGAGCCACCGGCACCUGGCCUAAACCCAAUUAUUACUCCCCUCAGGAAACCUGCCUGGGUGACGCCCUGGACCCCAUAAAGGCCUUGGUCCCACAGGUCCCCUCUCUCUCUCACUCUCUACCUGCUACUUGAACACCCUGCUGUCUCCGGGAUUCCUGUUGGCCCUCAUCGGCGCUGGCUUCUCUCAUGGAUCUGUGAGUAAUGAAAGGCUCCUGUUAUUCCAUGUGUCUCACCUGACACACGCCCAACCCUAACUCCCCUCGCCCCUUAGAGAGCGGCUAUCUCGGCUUAUGGUACCUCUCCAAGGGACACCCCAAGACCCAAUUAGACAAAGAUCUCAACAGGGAGGCUCCUGGCUCAAGGUAAGUUUUGAAAGGAUGCCCAAGGGCUCUGGCAUGACCAUGCUACCUGCAGAGAGGACCCAGGGCACAGGCCCCAGCCCCAGUGGCCGAGAUAGGGGGAGGGUUGCCCCAGGGACCCCCCCAAGUACUGAGGCCUGGGCAUGGAGAUGUGGGAGACCCCUCUCAGAUCCCUGCUCCUGACACACACAGGCAGGGUCCCUUACUGCCUUAUCUUUCCUGGUGCUCACACCUGUCCCCUUCCACAGCUAAUUUCCAUCAGAGACCUGGGACCUAAGUCCCCUGUUUCAGCCUGGCAUCUCCCAGAGCCAUUCAGAUCUCUCUUGGAGGUGCCCGGUGAUCCCCAGGGCAGAGCUCGGUGGAGUCAAGGCACCUUGCUUGCCUCACUCUAGUCCCAGCCUGACCUCAGGAGAAGGAUUGAGGAACCUAGUCCUCCCGCAGGCAGGAGGGGUAGAGCACCUUGGAACCAAACUCAGGAGUUUCUGGCUGGCUCCAAACAGAAGAGCCACAGCCCACAGGAGCUCUCUUCUGAAAGGAUCUCCAGCCUUGGGUUUACCUCAUCAGAGGCUUGGCCUGUGGGACACUGCGGGAGAGGAUUGGGAGAAGAAAGAGGGGUGAGCCCUGUUGUCCUCUUCCAUGCCCUGACCCAGCAGCAUGGCUGGGGGAGGCGCUCUGGCCCUAAGCUUCACUUCCACCACGAAGCCUUCUCUGACUUACUCUCUGCAUCCUCGUCCCCAACCCACCUCAGUACUUAGUACAUGCCCCAGAAGAUAGACCUGACCCUCUGCGGCCUUGGAUCACCAGAGUUGUUUUCCUGGGCACACUUAGGCAUCCUGCCUCUCCCAUCAGACUACGUUACCCAGUCAGACGUGAUGCCCUGGAAUGUGCCCCCCAUCCAUCAGUGUCCCUCUCAGACUGCCACUUGGAGAGCAGGCUGUGUCUUCCCCUCAGUGUACCCCCCUUAGACUGAGCCCCUCCCCCUUGCCUGUGGGCCCCAUGGAAGGCUUUGUGGAGAAACCCCCUCCACCCAGUCUCUUUAACCACAGCCUCCCUCCCUACUUCUCAGGAAACCACAGGAGAAAGAACAGGAUGGGAUUUUAGAGAAGUGGCCAGGAGGCCCUGAAACUGCUAGUGAAGUGGCUGUGGCCAGGGGGCCCAGGGACCUGCCCAGCCUUGGGAUGGGGGUGUGUGGGGGGAGGGGGCAGUACCACAGACCCCCGUAUGGGCCACUGGGACAUGUAAGAGUUCAAGUCCUCCUUCUCCAGGAUAUAUUUCAGAGACAAUGAGGCUGAAUUCAGUACUUGCAGUACCGAAAAAAAAAAAUCUAACUUUACUUACAAAAACCCCAGAUCCAAAGCAACCCUAGAGCUGAUAUUAUAUAGGGUAUGGAAAGCAUGGCAUUCAGCAAUUCGCUGAUUUUCAAAAGUUGGACUGUGUGCAGAUUGGCUGACUUUCAGUCUUGGCAGUUAGGGAUUGGCUGACUUUCAGAAGCAAAUCACUGGAGUAAGACCCUUGCUGAUUGGCUGGCUCUCAGAAGCAUGGUCCCUGGAAUGAAGCUGUUGCUGAUUGGUUGGCUCUCAGGGGACUGAAGUAACGUGAUCAAUGACUGAUUGGACCAGGUUGAAAAUAAGUCUGUGUGACUUGUUCCUGGCUUCAGACUAGUUCUCAAAACAGUCCCCCACCCCCCGCCUUUUUACUUGCUUUUAAAAGACAGAGUCUGGCUCUGUCACCCAGGCUGGAGUGCAGUGGCACGAUCAUGGCUCACUGCAGCCUCAAACUCCUGGGCUCAAGCAGUCCUCCCAACUCGGCCUCCUGAGUAUAGUAGCUGGGACUGCAGGCAUGUGCCACCACACCCUGCUAAUUUAUGUAUUUUUGGUAGAGACAGGGUCUUGCUAUGUUGCCCAGGCUGGUCUUGAACUCCUGUCCUCAAGCAAUCCUCCAACCUUGGCCACCUCCCAAAAGGCUGGGACUACAGACUUGAGCCACUGAGCCUGGCCGCUCCCUUCCCUGCCCUUUUGUGAAUUUAGAGAAUAGAAACAUUUUGUUUUCACCUCCCCCACAUUCCUGGCUUUCCCUUUUCUGACCAGCCAAGCACUGAUCAUCUGUACCCACACUCCAGAAUUGUCCAGAAGUCAGUUUGCCCAGGCCUGGUCAUUCCAUCCUUCAAAAACUCUUUCAUGGAGACUGCAGCUCUAGAAAGCAGACCUGUGCCCUUCCUUUCUGGUGCUUGGCACACCCUCCUCAUCCCCUGUUUGAAUGGAUGAAUGAGUGAGUGAAUGAAUGAAUGAAUGGCUGUAAGGAGGUUACAUGGUAGAUUUGGCAGAACUAGUAUAAGCCAUAUCCUCCCUUCCUUUUCUGACCCCUGUAAAAUCCAGCCUCAGCAUUCCCCACUGAACCCCCCAACCUCUGCCCCCCCACACACAUAAGAAUGUGGACUGCCCACAGCUCACCAGUUCCUCUGGAACCAGUUUGAACCCCCUGUGACCCAGCAGGGCCCCCACUCCCCCUUGAGUGUUAAGAUUUUUGGAUUAGUUGGCUUGAACUGUUCUAGAAAACAACAGAGUACCUUUGAGAAAAACAAAAUGCAUUAAUUUGGGCCCUAGGUCAGAAAAACAAAUUUAUAUUUGGCUUUGAUCUGGGUUGAUUUUAGCCUUUGGCUAUCGAUCAGGAGAGUGAGAGGGUAGCAAGGGUUGUCUUUGCCCUAAAGUAAGAGACAUGGGUUUAAACCCUGCUCUGGCCAGAAUCAUGUAGGGAACUGGACCAGGCCUUCCUAUUUCUGUUCAUUUCAGCACACAUUUAAUGAGUACUUACUGUGUGUUAAGUAUGGUGUUGUACAGAUAGACUGCCCCAGCCCUCAAGGAGCUCAGUCUAGAGGGUAGAGAGAUAAGUGAGUAAAGGCUUACAGUUUAGAGGGAUCAGGGCUGUUAGGGAGGGGAGUGAGCAGGGGGGCUGUGUGAGCCCAGGAGAGGCACCAGAUUCAACUUAGAUUGAGAGGUGACAUCAGAAAGAUAUUAUGGGCCAACUCUGGGCACACUGCCUAUGAAUUCACCCUGCUUUGCAAGGAAUAGUAUGGUUAAUAAAAUUCUUUAAAAAAGAAAAAGAUGUUAUGGAAGUAUGUUACAUUAUUUGUAUGGCCCAGUGUAAAACGAAAGUGCAAGGCUUCUUAUUCAGAUUUCAAGAUGUCAGCAGCAGAGGAUUAAACUAAGCACAGGGCCCUACUGAGCACAGGGCUCUGUGUGACCUCACAGCUCUCAUCCCAUGAAGCCAGCCCUGCU
rnacentral:lncRNA from 1 species